CAACAGCGUCAACAGCAGCAGCGAGGUGUCGUUCUUUUACUGCAGUUCUCUGAAAAAUUCCCCCGGCUAGCAAUCUUCGUAUCAAAGUCACAAACCUUAAUUCUUCUUCGAGUUCUAAGGACAGUGAAUCUCUCAAGAGGAAGCCGCAUAACAAGAGCUCAACUAUACGCUUCGUCCUCAACAUAUGGUCCUUCUGAUGAGGCUAUCGAUACUUCCGUUAAGGAUAUUUUCGCCCAAGCUACUGUGAAUGUGCUUCUGCGUCUGUGGAAGAUAUUAUCGCUCAUGAUGUAAUGAUUGAUACUAUUUUGAAGGAUGUUGUUGCCGCAACUUCUGAGAAUACCCUUGCGUUUGUAAAGGAAACUACUGCGUUGGUAAAGGUACUACCGUCUUUACUUCUGAGAAUAUUGACGCGUCUAUAGAGAGUACUGCUACUUUUUCUCUCGAGGAUGCUACUACGUCUUCAAAGCAUGUGACCGCUAUCUCCACUAUGAGCAUUGUUAUACCUACUCAUCAUCAUUCCAUGGUCACCGCUUCAUCUUUGGACACCACUUACGUUGAUCAGGGUGCUUUUGGAAGAGUUGACUCUGAAACCAUGUUACUAUUGGAUAUUAUUAAUGUCGCUCGUUCAUCCAUUAGCGAUCUUUCUUAAGCUCGCAUUUUUGACACCCUUGCUAAACUAUUGUGUGAGUCUCCUCCAGAUAAAUCAACUAGGAGCGAAAUUUUCUCACAGUUGGAUCCAAGCGUUAAUAUUUCUUUCGAUCUUCUAGAAUGUUGUCGUCGCUUAGUCCAAACUGUGGGAUUCUCUUAGUCUAUGUUAGCAAGCCACAACAGAUACCAACAUAGGACUCGAUCAGCUCAACCAACAGGACCGAGUUUACAGGGAGAGUCUUCAUGCUAUUUUUAUGUUCGUUUUGUUAGCGAUAAUAAUGUAUUUUGUUAGCUGUAGAAUAGCUAACACAGUUGUAACUGAUCUCCCUGUAUGUGUUGCUCUUGAAGAUAUAAAUACCAUAUGACUCCACAAU